rnacentral:lncRNA from 1 species
UGUCGUUGUGUAUAAAAAUAAUAUCAAAAUUUUAUAACUUGUCAAAAUAGUGAGAAGAAAAAUAUGUUUUUAAAGUUUUAAUUACGAACGAAGGAAGAUAAAAUUAUAAAAAAAAAAAAAAUUUUUAAUCAAACACAUUUUAUAAAAAAAAAUUUUAUUACAAGGAAGGUCUUGUUGUUGGUGAUUGAUCGAUCGAUUGAUGAUUCCUUCUUGGAGAUUCAGCAAUUACCUUUCUAAUAUUUUAAAUGACUAUUAUAUCUUUUACGUAUAAUUGAUAGUCAACAAAAAAAAUAAAAAAAAAAGCCAAUUAAUAAUUGUUAAGGGUAAUUUUUACUUUUGUUCAACUCUCGUUGGAGGAUACUCUUAUACUUGGAGCCCAAAACAUUGAUCAGUACUUUGAAACUCUUGAGAUAAAAAAUAAAAAAUUUAAUCCAAAAUUAAAAAAGAGGAAAAACAGAUCUAGAAUUCUUUUUAAGAAUUCAAACAUAUCUAGACUAAAUCAAAAACUUAAAACCAUAUUCAAAUAAAAAAACCUUUUACAUGAAAAUCACAACCAAAAUAAUAUCGAAAAUAAAUUCAAACAGAUCUAGAAAAGGAAAAAAUAAUCUGAAAAUAACAAAAAUAGAUCUAGAAAUUUCUUUGUUCUACUUGAAAAUCGCAAAUAAAAUAAUACCUAAAAAUAAAUUCAGAUAAAAACCAAAAUCCACAAUCCACAUAAAAAGCAAAAAAAAUGCACAUUAUCUCAGGUUUAGGGGACUUUAAAGAGAUUUAGGGUUGUUCGAAAGGAUAUAAAUAUUGAGGAAGCUUGAGAAAGAAGACAAAAGCGAUUUUAGGUCUUUAAAAGGGGAUUUGAAAGAAACUGAGUUGAGUAAAGAAAAGGAUGAGGCUUAAAGAGAUGAGAAUUUUUUGGGUGUUUUUCGUCACAUGUGAGAUGAUGGUGGCGACAAGAAAACAUGGUUGGGUUUUUUAGUCUGGUGGAAGCUAAGAGAGAGGAAGAUGGAAAAUGAACAAUGAGAGAAAUAAGAGACUUUCAAACGUAAGGUUUAGCAAGUUAUCGAACGGGUUAGACCGAGUUAUUUUGGGUAUCUGAAAAGUAAAAC